CACUAGUAAAUGAGGUCUGUAGAUUUUCAGGAGGCUUGUUUCUCAAACAAAAGAAAAAUUCAAGGGCCAAUGGUGCCACUUACAGUAAUUUCCAGCAAAUUGAAUUAACUUUUCAUGCAUUAUUUAGUUGCAGGCCCUAGCCUCCGAACUCAAAACUGGUUUCACAGAAGCAAUGCAAGAACUGUCAAGAAUUCAACAUGGAGAAUAUGCUUUGGAAGAAAAGGUUAAGAGCUGCAGAUGUUCCAUGGAAGAAAAAGUUACUGAGAUGAAGAAUUCAUUAAACUAUUUCAAGGAAGAGCUGAGCAAUGCCAUGUCGAUGAUCCAAGCCAUCACUUCCAAACAAGAAGAAAUGCAACAGAAAAUCGAACAGCUUCAACAGGAGAAGCGAAGAGAAUCUCGAAAAGUUAAAGCCAAAAAAACUCAAAAAGAAGAGCACAGCUCACAGGCCGGGCCUGCCCAAGCACAAGGAAGUCCUUUUCGUUCUAUCAAUAUCCCUGAGCCUGUUCUUCCAAGCGAAGACUUUACCAACCUUUUGCCUUCUCAGGCCUAUGAAAAAGGUACAGUUCACAAAUCAUACUGAAUUAACCAAGUAUUUUUUCCCCAAUUCCCCCAAUU
rnacentral:sRNA from 1 species